GCCCAAGUGGUCCAACGGUUAAGAUGCGGCCCUGUCGAGGCUGCGAUCCGGGUUCAACUCCCGGCUUGGGCG
rnacentral:tRNA from 1 species